rnacentral:rRNA from 1 species
CGCAAGCCUGAUGCAGCCAUGCCGCGUGAUGAAGAAGGCCUUCGGGUUGUAAAGUACUUUCAGCAGUGAGGAAGGCGGAGUCGUUAAUAGCGGCCUCGUUUGACGUUAGCUGCAGAAGAAGCACCGGCUAACUCCGUGCCAGCAGCCGCGGUAAUACGGAGGGUGCGAGCGUUAAUCGGAAUUACUGGGCGUAAAGCGCAUGCAGGUGGUUUGUUAAGUCAGAUGUGAAAGCCCGGGGCUCAACCUCGGAAUUGCAUUUGAAACUGGCAGACUAGAGUACUGUAGAGGGGGUAGAAUUUCAGGUGUAGCGGUGAAAAUGCGUAGAGAUCUGAAGGAAUACCGGUGGCGAAGGCGGCCCCCUGGACAGAUACUGACACUCAGAUGCGAAAGCGUGGGGAGCAAACAGGAUUAGAUACCCUGGUAG